GCCGCGGUAAUUCCAGCUCCAAUAGCGUAUAUUAAAGUUGUUGCAGUUAAAAAGCUCGUAGUUGGAUUUCGGAAGGUCUUUAGUGGUCCGCCCCUUCGGGGAGCGGGUCACUGGCCUCCUAUGUUCCUAACGGUCCUCAUCCGCGAGGGUGGGGAAUCAACCGCUAGGAUCGUUUACUUUGAGGAAAUUAGAGUGUUCAAAGCAGGCGUAACUCGCCUCCGAAUACGUUAGCAUGGGAUAAUGGAAUACGACUUCGGUCUUGUUUCGUUGGUUUCGCUUGGCUGAAGUAAUGAUUGAUAGGGACAGUUGGGGGCAUUAGUAUUUAGUUGUCAGAGGUGAAAUUCUAGGAUUUACUAAAGACUGACCAAUGCGAAAGCAUUUGCCAAGGAUGUUUUCAUUAAUCAAGAACGAAAGUAGGGGGAUCGAAGACGAUCAGAUACCGUCGUAGUCUCUACCGUAAACUAUGCCGACCAGGGAUCCGGAGAGUUUGCAUGGAUGACUCCCCGGGCACCUUGUGAGAAAUCAUAAGUGUUUGGGUUUUGGGGGGAGUAUGGUCGCAAGGCUGAAACUUAAAGGAAUUGACGGAAGGGCACCACCAGGAGUGGAACCUGCGGCUUAAUUUGACUCAACACGGGGAAACUUACCAGGUCAGGACACUGUGAGGAUUGACAGAUUGAAAGCUCUUUCUUGAUUCAGUGGGUGGUGGUGCAUGGCCGUUCUUAGUUGGUGGAGUGAUUUGUC
rnacentral:rRNA from 1 species